GGCGGGACACGUGGUAUCCUGUCUGAAUAUGGGGGGACCAUCCUCCAAGGCUAAAUACUCCUGACUGACCGAUAGUGAACCAGUACCGUGAGGGAAAGGCGAAAAGAACCCCGGCGAGGGGAGUGAAAAAGAACCUGAAACCGUGUACGUACAAGCAGUGGGAGCACAGGUUUACCUGUGUGACUGCGUACCUUUUGUAUAAUGGGUCAGCGACUUAUAUUCUGUAGCAAG
rnacentral:rRNA from 1 species